GCUUGCAGGAACUAGAAGUGGGAACCAGGAAAAAGCAGGGUCCUGGGAUGACCAGGGGCCCUUCUUCCAAAGAUGGAGAAAUACAUGGAGAAAUGAAGGGCUACCUCUCUCCCUUUGACAAGAUGCCGUCUCCUAAGGACCAGUUUGCAUGUUCUCUCCCUCUCCUGUGACCAGUCUCCCAAGGAAAACAAGCAUUGGGCGUUUUUCUAAUGGCUACACAAACUAGUCAUGCCUUCCAUGGCCAAGAUAAAACAUUUCUGGAAAAUCGCUGCAUGAGGAGGUACAACGACGGAGAUCCGAAGAAGCAACUGAACCAGAAGAAUAUCAAUGCACUUGGCCAAAAUCUAGACGAUGGACUACUAGUUACACACGUUAACCAGACACAGGACUUACUGAGGCUGCAGGGAGAUGAGACCCAGCCUUCAGCCUGCGAAGACUCGGAAGAUUGGCUUUCAACACACAGUUUAAAGUCUGAGAAACUCACCUUGGCUGAUCUGAUGAGCCAGGGGACAGCUGUGCUGGAGGAGGGCAGCAAGGUCAUGAGGAAAAUGCACUUCUCCACCUCGACCAUCCACCGGUUCGAAUCCAAGCUUUCUGAAGCUAUUGAAGUCUAUCAACAGAGGAUUCAGUGGCUCACAGAAAACAGCAAGAAGGCUUUCGGCCUCAUCAAGGGGACCAGAGUCGGCAUCCUCACUGAUGUGUCAGCCGUCAGCAGUGGCCCUCAGAAAGAGGAGUUCCAAAAUGACCUCCUGAGCCUCAUUGAUGAGCAGCUGAGCCACAAGGAGAAGCUGUACGUCCUGUCCUUUGGCACCACCACCAGCGCCCUCUGGCCUGACCCCAUGGACGUCAGCACCUCUACCCUUCAGGAACUCAAGCUCUGGGUAAAGAAACUUGAGCCCGAGGGAGGCAGCAAUCUGCUACAAGCCCUGAAGAAAGUCUUCACUCUGAAGGGGCUGAAUUCUCUGGUGACCAUUAUGGGAAGCUGCCCAGAUCAGCCUUCUGAAAUCCUGUCCGACUACAUCCAACAGUCCGCCAUGGGAAGGGACCUCAUCACCCAUUUCAUCACCUACAAGUGCGACGAGCAGGUGCCCCCUGCUGUUCUGAAGAACCUUGCAGAAGCUCUUGGGGGCUACUACCACUGCUAUGGUCCAGAGAUGGAGAUCUGCGCCAGCCGGGAGGUGGAUGAGCUCCUGGCAGAAAUCCAGAAAGCCCAGAGCCUCCGGAGCCACGUCCAAGCCCUGCAGCAGAGCUCCCCCUGCGAGGAGCCGGCCGGCGGGAGGCAGGAGAUUUCCAACGAGAUUGCAAAAAGGCCAUUCACAAGUCUCUUGCCUAAACCCCCGAAGCAUGAGGCUCCCCUCACAAUUGAGUUCCCAAACUUGGCCAAGACUUCUGCAGAAUGGCUGAAGACCAACAGCCUGAAAGCCAAGAAGCUAAGCCUCUAUCAGGUUCUGGCCCCCAAUGCAUUCUCUCCCGUGGAGGAAUUUGUGCCUAUUCUCCGGAAGACAGUCUCAUCCACUAUCUAUGAGAAGGCAAUGGUACAAUUUGAAUGGCAUGACGGGACGGUGAAGAACAUUCACGUGGAUCUUCCCUUCCUAUAUGAGUACCAGAAACAGCUCAGCAGAGCUAUGCAGAUGUAUGAGAGACGGAUGGAGUGGCUCUCCUUGGCCAGCAGAAGAAUCUGGGGCACCGUCUGCGAAAAAAGGGUGGUUAUACUGCUCGAUAUCUCCGUGACCAAUUCCGUGUACAUUAUUCAUAUCCAGCACUCCCUGCGGCUUCUGCUGGAGGAGCAACUGGCCAACAAGGACUGCUUCAACAUCGUGGCGUUUGGAAGCACAGUUGAAAGUUGGAGGCCAGAGAUGGUUGCCGCCAGCCAUGACAACUUACAGAGCGCCUGGAGGUGGGUCCUGACCCUGCAGUGUCGGGGCAGCAGGAACGUCCUCAGCGCCCUGCGGAAGGCUGUCGAAGUGGACUUCAAGGACAAAGACAAACAGCAAUCGCAAGGCAUCUACCUCUUCACAGGGGGCAUCCCUGACCAGGACACGCCCAUGCUCAGUGCCUACAUGGCCGAGGCCUGCGGGGGCUGCGACUUCCAGCUGAACGUGUGUCUCUUCUACGUGGACGAGUCACAGACGGGCAACACGCCCCCCGCCUGCUAUGCCAGCUGCACUGACACGGCCGCCGCCUACCGGGAGGUCGCCCGGGCUGCUGGUGGCCGCUUCCACUGGUUUGGAGACACAGGUAUCUACGAAAGUGAUGACAUCAGUGCCAUCGUGUCUGAGAUGGAAAAGGCUCUCAGCUACUCCCAGAAGUGCGCCUUGCUCGUGUCCUCCCUGAAGAACCAGUCUGGAAAAGAACAGGAAAAUGCAGCCCUCCUGAGAGAAAAGCCAAAGAUGCUCAAGCCAAGAAGCCAGCCCAGGAAGCUCUGUCCCUCCAAACCCACAGCACCCUCGGUGGCCAGAAUGAGCAUGAAAGAUGACCCUGACCGACAGAAGAGUGCCCCUGUGAAAGCUCUGAUGUGGCGUCCACUCAGUGGCAAAGCAGGCGUCCCCCCAGCUGCAGCCCAGCCGGUGAAAGAAGGGACAGCAGGGCGGAGGAGGAAGACCACAGCUAGGGACGCAGAGGCAUCUCUCUCGCUGUUUUAUACCGAGAUGGGGAAUAACGUGGGAUCCGUGUACAGGAAGUAUCCUCAAGGAAGGGGCUUAAGAAGAACUAGCUCUUCUAUCGAGUUGCCCAGAAAGGAUACAAUCUGCUCAAGCCAAGAGUGGAUAGCAAAUUAUGGGCUGAAAAAACUGAAGAUGGAGAUCUCCAGAUACCUUGGUCCCAACUGCACUCAUCAAAAGUCCGUACAGAGAUCAGCAUCAGCCAAGCACUGCAGCGUCUUCCCCAGCACGGAGAUCAAUGGGAUGGUGAGACACAUUCAGUGUACGCCCAGGGAAAUGGACGCGUACAUCACAGGCCUGGAGAAGCUGAUGCGGCGCUAUGUCCAGAGGCUGCAGUGGCUGCUGUCUGGUGAGCCCGCCUGCUGUACUGGAGGGCAGAGGGGCCGGAGGGGAAGUGGAAGGUCAACCCCAGGACCCCGUGAUCCGUCCUUCCAAAGCCUCUGGAGGGGGUGUGGCUGUCAGGUCAGAGGCUGAGGUCAGGCAAGGAGGCUGAAUACAUUCCCCAUUCCUGACUCACACUUCCUGCCCGGAAGAGGGUGAAGGCCGGUCCUGCAGCCGCUCCUUUUUUUGGUACAAAUCGAACCCCGACCUCACAUACAGUUACACCCCCAACUCCAUCUAAUACUUCAAAACGUACCCAGGGGAUGCUGCACUGAUUCACUCUGAUUGUUCAACUAAUGAAUGUUUUUCCCCUGCUCGGGGCUGCAGAGGUGGUAGAGGAAGCACCUGGCACGGUCCCUGAGCUCAUGGGGGACACAGAUGUUAGGCAAAGAGCACCCAUGCAAGUGUUGGGAGGAGACGGGUGUGAUGCUGAGAGAGGGGCAGUGGGCCUGUGCUGGGAGGUCACAGAGGGCUUCCCCGAGGAGCCGAGACGUGGGGCAUGAACAGAUGUUACCUGAGCAGAGAAAGGAAAGAUGCUCAGGGCACAACUGAGCGGGAGGGAGCUGAGCACAAGGACUAAAAGGAAGCCAGUGUGGCUGAGAGUAAAGGAAGCGGCCAUGCUAGGGAGGUGAGCCAUGGCCUGGACUUUGUCCUUUAUCCUAAGAGCAAUGGGAAGCCACUAAAUGGUUUUAAAAGGGGGGAAGUGAUCAAGUUAGCAUCGGCAACAAUCUCUCUGGUUGCUGCGUGGAGUAUAAAUUGUUGAGGGGAUGGAGUGGAAUCAGGGCAACCUAGGAGGGGUCUGGGGCAAGGAUCAGGACAGCUGGAAGGGUAGUGGUGAUGCCCACGGACAAAGAAGGCAGGAUAAGACUCAGGAGGCAGAAACGACAGGGCUUGGUGGCUGGCAGUGUGUCUCCGCUGUCUGGUUCCCAGGAUGGAUCAGCUGGCCUUUUGGGUGGGAACCUCUUGGCCAACUGGCUGGCUGGCUGGCUGUCCUCUCGGAACAUCCCCCGCGCCUCAGGACAGCUCCCCUCCUGUCCUCAGGUUGACGUGAGCAUUGCCAGGGAACACCACAGGGAGCCGCCGACUGUUCGGUAUCAUCUUGGAGAGCAAAGUGUGCAUCCUGCUCGACACGUCGGGC